AUGCGCAGUAAUGAUCUUAUAGCCGGAUACGCCGGUUGUUAUGGUAACCGGUCGGAUACAACAACAUGGCGCUGCCCGGUACCGUCCGCCGCCAGCUGGAUACAGUCACCCGGAACAUCUUCACUGAUAACCGAGGACGGGGUCGCAAAAGAGCGGGGUCCAUGAUGGCGGGGAGGUUGACGUGGUCUCUAGUUUGCCGCUGCAGAUGUCGCUCUACUUCAAUGUGUUUUAUUUCCCUUUCUGGUGGAUCUGUGAUGUCCUGACACUUCAACUGAAGUACGUCCUCC